AACGUUGUUGCAGUUAAAAAGCUCGUAGUUGAAGUGAAGUGUGAACCUUCUGGAUUUUCGUUCGAAUUUCUUGCUGGUUCGCACUCUUUCCAAAUAGUUUGCAUGGGUAUUCACUUAUCUGUGUAUUGCAUUUGGUCAUUUACUGUGAGAAAAUUAGAGUGUUCAAAGCAUACGUUUGUUUGAAUACAUUAGCAUGGAAUAAUUCGAAAAGGCUUUCAUGUUCGAUUUGAUUGGUUUGUUCGUGAAGGCAAGAUUAAAAGGGACAGUUGGGGGUAUUCAUAUUCAAUAGUCAGAGGUGAAAUUCUCGGAUUUAUGGAAGAUGAACUAGUGCGAAAGCAUUUACCAAGGAUGUUUUCAUUAAUCAAGAACGAAAGUUAGGGGAUCGAAGAGGCUUAGAUACCCUCGUAGUCUUAACUAUAAACGAUACCGACUAGGGGUUAGUGGAGGUCAUUUGUCUCUACUAGUACCUUAUGAGAAAUCAAAGUCUUUGGGUUCCGGGGGGAGUAUGGUCGCAAGGCUGAAACUUAAAGGAAUUGACGGAAGGGCACCACCAGGAGUGGAGCCUGCGGCUUAAUUUGACUCAACACGGGGAAACUUACCAGGUCCAGACAUAGGAAGGAUAGACAGAACAAAGCUCUUUCUUGAUUCUAUGGGUGGUGGUGCAUGGCCGUUCUUAGUUGGUGGAUUGAUUUGUCAGGCUAAUUCCGAUAACGAACGAGACCUCCGCCUACUAAAUAGAAAGUUGUAAUUGGUUAUAACUUUCUUCUUAGAGGGACACUAUACAUGAAGUGUAGGGAAGCUGGAGGCAAUAACAGGUCUGUGAUGCCCUUAGAUGUCCUGGGCUGCACGCGCGCGACACUGAUUGAUUCAACAAGUGGCUGAUUUGAAAGAAUUGGC
rnacentral:rRNA from 1 species